rnacentral:rRNA from 1 species
UACGUAGGGCGCAAGCGUUGUCCGGAAUUAUUGGGCGUAAAGAGCUCGUAGGCGGCUUGUCACGUCGGGUGUGAAAGCCCGGGGCUUAACCCCGGGUCUGCAUUCGAUACGGGCAGGCUAGAGUGUGGUAGGGGAGAUCGGAAUUCCUGGUGUAGCGGUGAAAUGCGCAGAUAUCAGGAGGAACACCGGUGGCGAAGGCGGAUCUCUGGGCCAUUACUGACGCUGAGGCGCGAAAGCGUGGGGAGCGAACAGG